UGUUUUCAGGUUAGCUUGGGGCUGGAGAUCGUCAGAGGCAGCAUCACACUAUCAAAUCGCUAUCUUUGGAAUAAUGAAGCAUAUAUUAGAAAUUUCAAGUGAGUGGCAUGUAUAGGGAUCUAGUUGAUUGACAUGUAUUAUUUUGCUUUGGCCAAAUGUUUUGGCUUAUAUUGAGUUAUAUGUAUAUGGCCAUGAGAUAUGGCUUA
rnacentral:lncRNA from 1 species